GAUGAACGCUGGCGGCGUGCCUAAUACAUGCAAGUCGAGCGAACAGACGAGGAGCUUGCUCCUCUGACGUUAGCGGCGGACGGGUGAGUAACACGUGGAUAACCUACCUAUAAGACUGGGAUAACUUCGUGAAACCGGAGCUAAUACCGGAUAAUAUAUUGAACCGCAUGGUUCAAUAGUGAAAGACGGUUUUGCUGUCACUUAUAGAUUGAUCCGCGCCGCAUUAGCUAGUUGGUAAGGUAACGGCUUACCAAGGCAACGAUGCGUAGCCGACCUGAGAGGGUGAUCGGCCAAACUGGAACUGAGACACGGUCCAGACUCCUACGGGAGGCAGCAGUAGGGAAUCUUCCGCAAUGGGCGAAAGCCUGACGGAGCAACGCCGCGUGAGUGAUGAAGGUCUUCGGAUCGUAAAACUCUGUUAUUAGGGAAGAACAAAUGUGUAAGUAACUAUGCACGUCUUGACGGUACCUAAUCAGAAAGCCACGGCUAACUACGUG
rnacentral:rRNA from 1 species